AGAAUACGCAUGGGGACAAGCCUGGGGGGCCGUCUGAGAGUCCCCCAACCCUGGAUCCCCACGGCAGCCCCCACUGUUGGGUUUUUCAGUGGCUGGUGUGCCCUGGGCUGGUCACCUCUGCAUUUUGCUCUGCUGGGAGUUUGCUCCUGGCCCUCCAACAGCGCCUCCUCUGUGAGGAGGAACUCCUGUUCCCGUGGCUCUGCUGGCUCUGGAGGCUGGAGUUCCCGUGCUGGGCCCUCCUGGGCGGGUUCUCUCUUGCUGCCGCCAGUACCCUGCCCCUCUCGUCCUCCUGGGUAGCCUGGGAGGAAUGGCAGAAGAAAGCAGUGAAGCCAGGUAGCAGUAGCCCGGCCACCCCACCAGGCUCUGCUGUAGGCUGGGCUCUCAAGGCAGCUGCUCCAGGAGGGGCCCCCUAGGAAGGGACUGCCACACUCCUGGGAGCGUUCCUGGCCCCCUCCAGUGCAAAUGACCCUGGGCCCCAAGGCUCCGAACACCCGCCCCUCUGCUCCAGGAAACAGGCCCCGGCAGAAAGCCGCCUGGCCUCUGUCCGAGCCCGGGCACCCGGGUUCACGUGCUGGGCUGCCCG
rnacentral:lncRNA from 1 species